CCUCGGAUCAGGUAGGGAUACCCGCUGAACUUAAGCAUAUCAAUAAGCGGAGGAAAAGAAACCAACCGGGAUUGCCUCAGUAACGGCGAGUGAAGCGGCAAGAGCUCAAAUUUGAAAGCUGGCUCCUUCGGGGUCCGCAUUGUAAUUUGCAGAGGAUGCUUCGGGCGCAGCCCCCGUCUAAGUGCCCUGGAAUGGGCCGUCGGAGAGGGUGAGAAUCCCGUCUGGGAUGGGGUGCCUGUGUCCGUGUGAAGCUCCUUCGACGAGUCGAGUUGUUUGGGAAUGCAGCUCUAAAUGGGUGGUAAAUUUCAUCUAAAGCUAAAUAUUGGCCGGAGACCGAUAGCGCACAAGUAGAGUGAUCGAAAGAUGAAAAGCACUUUGAAAAGAGAGUUAAACAGCACGUGAAAUUGUUGAAAGGGAAGCGCUUGCGACCAGACUCGCUCGCGGGGUUCAGCCGGCAUUCGUGCCGGUGUACUUCCCCGUGGGCGGGCCAGCGUCGGUUUGGGCGGCCGGUCAAAGGCCUCCGGAAUGUAGCCCCCCUCGGGGGGCCUUAUAGCCGGGGGUGCAAUGCGGCCAGCCUGGACCGAGGAACGCGCUUCGGCUCGGACGCUGGCAUAAUGGUCGUAAACGACC
rnacentral:rRNA from 1 species